UACGUAGGAUCCAAGCGUUAUCCGGAAUUACUGGGCGUAAAGAGUUGCGUAGGUGGUCUGUUAAGUGGAGCGUGAAAGCGUGCGGCUCAACCGCAUUAUUGCGUUCUAAACUGGCAGACUUGAGUAUGAGAGAGGUAGAUGGAAUUUCUAGUGUAGGAGUGAAAUCCGUAGAUAUUAGAAGGAACACCGAUGGCGUAGGCAGUCUACUGGCUCAUUACUGACACUAAGGCACGAAAGCGUGGGGAGCAAACGGG
rnacentral:rRNA from 1 species